rnacentral:rRNA from 1 species
GAUGAACGCUGACAGAAUGCUUAACACAUGCAAGUCUACUUGAAUUUGGUUUUUUUAACUUAGAUUUGGGUGGCGGACGGGUGAGUAACGCGUAAAGAACUUGCCUCACAGCUAGGGACAACAUUUGGAAACGAAUGCUAAUACCUGAUAUUAUGAUUUUAAGGCAUCUUAGAAUUAUGAAAGCUAUAUGCGCUGUGAGAGAGCUUUGCGUCCCAUUAGCUAGUUGGAGAGGUAACGGCUCACCAAGGCGAUGAUGGGUAGCCGGCCUGAGAGGGUGAACGGCCACAAGGGGACUGAGACACGGCCCUUACUCCUACGGGAGGCAGCAGUGGGGAAUAUUGGACAAUGGACCAAGAGUCUGAUCCAGCAAUUCUGUGUGCACGAUGACGUUUUUCGGAAUGUAAAGUGCUUUCAGUUGGAAGAAAAAAAGACGGUACC